rnacentral:rRNA from 1 species
AAGCAUAUCAAUAAGCGGAGGAAAAGAAACCAACAGGGAUUGCCCUAGUAACGGCGAGUGAAGCGGCAACAGCUCAAAUUUGAAAUCUGGCUCUCGGGCCCGAGUUGUAAUUUGUAGAGGAUGCUUUUGGUGCGGUGCCUUCCGAGUUCCCUGGAACGGGACGCCAUAGAGGGUGAGAGCCCCGUCUGGUUGGAUGCCAAUCCUCUGUAAAGCUCCUUCGACGAGUCGAGUAGUUUGGGAAUGCUGCUCUAAAUGGGAGGUAUAUGUCUUCUAAAGCUAAAUACCGGCCAGAGACCGAUAGCGCACAAGUAGAGUGAUCGAAAGAUGAAAAGAACUUUGAAAAGAGAGUUAAAAAGUACGUGAAAUUGUUGAAAGGGAAGCGCUUGUGACCAGACUUGGGCUUGGUUGAUCAUCCAGGGUUCUCCCUGGUGCACUCUUCCGGCUCAGGCCAGCAUCAGUUUGCCUCGGGGGAUAAAGGCUUCGGGAAUGUGGCUCUCUCCGGGGAGUGUUAUAGCCCGCUGCGUAAUACCCUGUGGCGGACUGAGGUUCGCGCAUUCGCAAGGAUGCUGGCGUAAUGGUCAUCAGUGACCCGUCUUGAAACACGGACCAAGGAGUCGUCUUCGUAUGCGAGUGUUCGGGUGUCAAACCCCUACGCGAAAUGAAAGUGAACGCAGGUGAGAGCUUCGGCGCAUCAUCGACCGAUCCUGAUGUUCUCGGAUGGAUUUGAGUAAGAGCAUACGGAGCCGGACCCGAAAGAAGGUGAACUAUGCCUGUGUAGGGUGAAGCCAGAGGAAACUCUGGUGGAGGCUCGCAGCGGUUCUGACGUGCAAAUCGAUC